AGUGAACGCUGGCGGUAGGCCUAACACAUGCAAGUCGAACGGCAGCACAGUAAGAGCUUGCUCUUACGGGUGGCGAGUGGCGGACGGGUGAGGAAUACAUCGGAAUCUACUUUUUCGUGGGGGAUAACGUAGGGAAACUUACGCUAAUACCGCAUACGACCUACGGGUGAAAGCAGGGGAUCUUCGGAACUUGCGCGAUUGAAUGAGCCGAUGUCGGAUUAGCUAGUUGGCGGGGUAAAGGCCCACCACGGCGACGAUCCGUAGCUGGUCUGAGAGGAUGAUCAGCCACACUGGAACUGAGACACGGUCCAGACUCCUACGGGAGGCAGCAGUGGGGAAUAUUGGACAAUGGGCGCAAGCCUGAUCCAGCCAUACCGCGUGGGUGAAGAAGGCCUUCGGGUUGUAAAGCCCUUUUGUUGGGAAAGAAAAGCAGCAGGUUAAUACCCCGCUGUUCUGACGGUACCCAAAGAAUAAGCACGGGCUAACUUCGUG
rnacentral:rRNA from 1 species